rnacentral:rRNA from 1 species
UACGUAGGUGGCAAGCGUUAUCCGGAAUUAUUGGGCGUAAAGCGCGCGCAGGCGGUCUUUUAAGUCCGAUGUUAAAGCCCACGGCUCAACCGUGGGUCGCAUUGGAAACUGGGAGACUUGAGUAUUGAAGAGGACAGUGGAAUACCACGUGUAGCGGUGAAAUGCGUAGAGAUGAGGUGGAACACCAGUGGCGAAGGCGACUUUCUGGUCAAAUACUGACGCUGGGGCGCGAAAGCGUGGGGAGCAAACAGG